AGUCAUAUGCUUGUCUCAAAGACUAAGCCAUGCAUGUCUAAGUAUAAGUUUUAUACGGCGAAACUGCGAAUGGCUCAUUAAAACAGUUAUAGUCUACUUGAUAAUUACAUCUACAUGGAUAACCGUGGUAAUUCUAGAGCUAAUACAUGCUGGCGUGCCCGACUUUUUGGAAGGGCGGUAUUUAUUAGAUAACAAGCCAAUAUUCCUUGUGUCUAUUGUGGUGACUCAUAAUAACUGAUCGAAUCGCACGGCUUUUCGCCGCGAUAAAUCAUUCAAGUUUCUGCCCCAUCAGCUUUCGAUGGUAGUGUAUUGGACUACCAUGGCAAUAACGGGUAACGGAGGAUUAGGGUUCGAUUCCGGAGAGGGAGCCUGAGAAACGGCUACCACAUCUAAGGAUGGCAGCAGGCGCGUAAAUUACCCAAUCCUGAUUCAGGGAGGUAGUGACAAGAAAUAACGAACCGUUAGUAUAUCUACGGGAUUGCAAUGAGCCGAAUUUUUCUUCCCUUGGUGAGGAACAAU
rnacentral:rRNA from 1 species